rnacentral:tRNA from 1 species
GCCUGGUUGGCUUAGUCGGUUGUGCAUCCGACUUCAGCUCAGGUCAUGAUCUCACAGUUCGUGGGUUCGAGCCCCGCAUCAGGCU